rnacentral:rRNA from 1 species
AAUAGAUACCCCCGGUAGUCCACCCCGUAAACGUUGGGAACUAGUUGUGGGGACCAUUCCACGGUUUCCGUGACGCAGCUAACGCAUUAAGUUCCCCGCCUGGGGAGUACGGCCGCAAGGCUAAAACUCAAAGGAAUUGACGGGGACCCGCACAAGCGGCGGGAGCAUGCGGAUUAAUUCGAUGCAACGCGAAGAACCUUACCAAGGCUUGACAUAUACGAGAACGGGCCAGAAAUGGUCAACUCUUUGGACACUCGUAAACAGGUGGUGCAUGGUUGUCGUCAGCUCGUGUCGUGAGAUGUUGGGUUAAGUCCCGCAACGAGCGCAACCCUCGUUCUAUGUUGCCAGCACGUAAUGGUGGGAACUCAUGGGAUACUGGCCGGGGUCAACGUCGGAGAAAGGGUGGGGAUGACGUCAAAUCAUCAUGCCCCUUAUGUCUUGGGCUUCACGCAUGCUACAAUGGCCGGUACAAAGGGCUGCAAUACCGUAAGGUGGAGCGAAUACCCAAAAGCCGGUCCAGUUCGGAUUGAGGUCUGCAACUCGACCUCA